GUAGCUUCACUUGAGUGGAGCAAUAUGGCUGAUCACUCCUCACAUAGCCAAUUUAUUUUGUGAUUAUAAAAAUAAUUAGAUCUAUAUGUAUUAUACAAAAUGAUUGGGGGGUGUUUUGGGACUGAGUGGAUGCUGUCUGAGUCUUUUUUUAGCUAUGGUGUCGUGUCAGUAAAAAUAUAUUACAUCCGUAUUGUGCUGUGAGCGUGGCCAGGCAGUUUAGAUGACGUCACUUAAUUUAUUCAUGUGUGUGCCGCAAUGCCAGAUGGGGCGGCAAAUUCAAAUGUGCUCUUCUACUCUAUGUGACUGUGUACAUUGCUGCCUGGCCGGCCGCCCUGUUACUGCUGCACAUGUGACAGGAAGACAGAGCGGGCAGCUAGUCGCCCCUGCCUGUCCCCAUCACGAUUGCCUCUCAGCAGUGACAACCUCGGCAGAGUGUUCCUGGACGAGGCUCCCAGCAGCGCUGUGCACUAGUGAUUCAUGCGCUCGCUGGGACCGUCACCGGUGCAAAGACUGCAGUUCACCGGCGGGUAGCCUGAUCUGUGUAACCCGCUGGAUCUGCAGUGACUGGCUACCACUACCUGCGGAGGCAUGAGAAUCGGAGGUUACCAGCAGCUACUAAGGAUCCUCUGUGACCCUAUCUCCCGCUCUAUGCUCCUCCUCUACCUGACACUCAUGUGCUCCAAGAGCUGGGAGGGCACCGGCCACCUGUACCGCCCCCUGCUGAUGACAGUAUUUUGGGUGUGGGUGGGUUACUAUGGUGCGAGUGCCGGGCAGGAGGCACAGGACACAUGCCCACUGUCAGCGCUCGUCAUAUGCUCCAGAGUCCUGGCCCUAGCUAUAGGCAACUACCUAGGACAUGGGGAAAUCCUAGGGCCUGCAGAGCAGCAUGGCAUACUACUGUCAGUGUCAGCACAGCUGUGAAAGUGAAACUACAGAGGAGUCCGAUCAGGGGGCGUGGCUACACGGGUCACUGCUGCCUUCCUGCAAUGUGUGAAACUGAGGGGAGGAAUGGCUCUGAGCUGCAAUACUGGACAUUGUGAUAUGCUGCCAUGUAAUUGUCAUGUGUUAAGCAGCUGCCCGGGAUCUGCCACCACGAGGAGCCUGACUGCCAGCGAGGAGAGAUGGGCCGGCCUGACCAUUACAUCGCGGAGAGUACCAUAUGUGGAGGGUGCUGCUGCUGCCUUCUCAUGUCCUCCCGAGGUGUGCUCGCACACCUGCUGCACUGCUUAAAGAGAGAGCCUGGAUCACAGUGUGAGGUGAGUGGGGACCCAGGGAGGGAAACCACUGGGACAGGGUCGCACACUGCGGCCGCCAUCUUUCUGCACCUCUGCCUUAGUCACUCUAUACCUGUCACCCACUAUCUCCCUGUCAGCCCUGUCUCAGUCAAAGUAUAGAUAGCGUGGCGAGCCACCGUGCCCGCAGCAUGGCGAGCCCGCAAGGGGCUCAUUUGCG